rnacentral:rRNA from 1 species
GGCCGCGGGAAUUCGAUUCAGGCCUAACACAUGCAAGUCGAGCGAAUGAUGAAGAAGCUUGCUUCUUCUGAUUUAGCGGCGGACGGGUGAGUAACACGUGGGCAACCUGCCCUGUAGAUUGGGAUAACUCCGGGAAACCGGGGCUAAUACCGAAUAAUCCAUUUCCUCUCAUGGGGAGAUGUUAAAAGACGGUUUCGGCUGUCACUACAGGAUGGGCCCGCGGCGCAUUAGCUAGUUGGUGAGGUAACGGCUCACCAAGGCGACGAUGCGUAGCCGACCUGAGAGGGUGAUCGGCCACACUGGGACUGAGACACGGCCCAGACUCCUACGGGAGGCAGCAGUAGGGAAUCUUCCACAAUGGACGAAAGUCUGAUGGAGCAAAGGCGCGUGAGUGAAGAAGGUUUUCGGAUCGUAAAAUCUCAGGGUGAGGGAAGAACAAGUACGAGAGUAACUGCUC